rnacentral:lncRNA from 1 species
UUUGUUCCUGGGGGCAGGGGCAGCUAGCGCCGCAGUGGCACCGGCGAUAGGAAGCGAGGGUACGUACGGGACGGCGAGGCAGUUCACUUGUGUGCGCGGGUCACCACCGUCCCGUACGUACGGGUACCACUACCACUUGCUGCUGCCGCAACGAGCCAACAAACGAUGGAUGCGUGUCUGCCCGUGUCGAUCCAAGGCGGAUCGAGCAGCGAGUGAAUGAGUGAAAGCGGCCCGCGGUCGGGCGAUCGAUCGCUUUGCGCAGGCAUGUUUGGCGCGGCCGAUGGGUCGCUCUUGUCCCGUAACCAAUUUAUUGCGGAUCUGGCGAUGGAUCCGCUAUCCAGGCGGGCAUGCACACGGCCAACCCGACGACACAAGAGAUGUGCGCUUGUCGUUUUACUUACGUUAUCGCCUCGCGGCCUCACAAGUCACACAU